GAGUAAUGCCUAGGAAUCUGCCUGGUAGUGGGGGAUAACGUCCGGAAACGGGCGCUAAUACCGCAUACGUCCUGAGGGAGAAAGUGGGGGAUCUUCGGACCUCACGCUAUCAGAUGAGCCUAGGUCGGAUUAGCUAGUUGGUGGGGUAAAGGCCUACCAAGGCGACGAUCCGUAACUGGUCUGAGAGGAUGAUCAGUCACACUGGAACUGAGACACGGUCCAGACUCCUACGGGAGGCAGCAGUGGGGAAUAUUGGACAAUGGGCGAAAGCCUGAUCCAGCCAUGCCGCGUGUGUGAAGAAGGUCUUCGGAUUGUAAAGCACUUUAAGUUGGGAGGAAGGGCAGUAAGUUAAUACCUUGCUGUUUUGACGUUACCAACAGAAUAAGCACCGGCUAACUUCGUGCCAGCAGCCGCGGUAAUACGAAGGGUGCAAGCGUUAAUCGGAAUUACUGGGCGUAAAGCGCGCGUAGGUGGUUCAGCAAGUUGGAUGUGAAAUCCCCGGGCUCAACCUGGGAACUGCAUCCAAAACUACUGAGCUAGAGUACGGUAG
rnacentral:rRNA from 1 species